GAGCUAUGAGGAUUCUUGCGCCCCUGUGAUGGUGGGGUCCAUCAUGAUCAACUGAUUUGCGGAUGAAAUCGGGCGCUUCUGAGCUC